rnacentral:rRNA from 1 species
UACGGAGGAUGCGAGCGUUAUCCGGAUUUAUUGGGUUUAAAGGGUGCGCAGGCGGGAGAUCAAGUCAGCGGUAAAAUGUCGGGGCUCAACCCCGGCCGGCCGUUGAAACUGGUUUUCUAGAGUUGGAGAGAAGUAUGCGGAAUUCGUGGUGUAGCGGUGAAAUGCAUAGAUAUCACGAAGAACUCCGAUUGCGAAGGCAGCAUACCGGCUCCAUACUGACGCUGAGGCACGAAAGCGUGGGGAUCGAACAGG